rnacentral:miRNA from 1 species
GGCCACCCCUGGGCUGGGCUGGGCUGGGCUGGGCGUGGGGGCGGGCAGC